rnacentral:tRNA from 1 species
AGAAGUUGAGUUUAAUAAGAAUAGGGAAGUGUCAUUUCUCAGGAACUCAAAGAGUAACUUCUU